rnacentral:tRNA from 1 species
GGACCGUUAGUCAAGUGGUUAAGACGUCGCACUUUCACUGCGGAGACGGGAGUUCGAAUCUCCUACGGUUCACCA